GACAACGUGGCCGAGCGGUUAAGGCGAUUGACUAGAAAUCAAUUAGGGUUUCCCUGCGUAGGUUCAAGUCCUGCCGUUGUCG
rnacentral:tRNA from 3 species